rnacentral:rRNA from 1 species
UACGUAGGUGGCAAGCGUUGUCCGGAAUUAUUGGGCGUAAAGCGCGCGCAGGCGGUCCUUUAAGUCUGAUGUGAAAAGCCCCACGGCUCAACCGUGGAGGGGUCAUUGGAAAACUGGGGGGGACUUGAGUGCAGGAGAGAAGAGUGGAAUUCCACGUGUAGCGGUGAAAUGCGUAGAGAUGUGGAGGAACACCAGUGGCGAAGGCGACUCUUUGGC